GACGAACGCUGGCGGCGUGCUUAACACAUGCAAGUCGAGCGAUGAAGCACCUUCGGGUGUGAAUUAGCGGCGAACGGGUGAGGAACACGUGAGAAAUCUGCCUUCAACUCUGGGAUAACUCCGGGAAACCGGGGCUAAUACCGGAUAUGAGCCUUGAUCGCAUGAUCGGGGCUGGAAAGUUUUUCGGUGAAGAUGAUCUCGCGGCCUAUCAGCUUGUGGUGAGGUAAUGGCUCACCAAGGCGACGACGGGUAGCCGGCCUGAGAGGGCGACCGGCCACACUGGGACUGAGACACGGCCCAGACUCCUACGGGAGGCAGCAGUGGGGAAUAUUGGGCAAUGGGCGAAAGCCUGACGGAGCAAUA
rnacentral:rRNA from 1 species